AAAGCGGGGGAUCUUCGGACCUYGCGCUAUUNGAUGAGCNUGCGUUGGAUUAGCUUGUUGGUGAGGUNAUGGCUCACUAAGGCGACGAUCCAUAGCUNGUCUGAGAGGACGAUCAGCYNCACUGGGACUGAGACNCGGCCNNGNCUCCUACGGGAGGCAGCAGUGGGGAAUAUUGGACAAUGGGGGCAACCCUGAUCCAGCAAUACCGCGUGUGUGAAGAAGGCCUGCGGGUUGUAAAGCACUUUCAAUUGUGAAGAAAAGCUUAGGGUUAAUAACCCUGGGUCUUGACGUUAACUUUAGAAGAAGCACCGGCUAACUCCGUGCCAGCAGCCGCGGUAAUACGGAGKGUGCAAGCGUUAAUCGGAAUUACUGGGCGUAAAGCGCGCGUAGGUGGUUUGGUAAGUCAGAUGUGAAAGCCCCGGGCUCAACCUGGGAACUGCAUUUGAAACUGCUUGACUAGAGUAUAGUAGAGGGAAGCGGAAUUCCGGGUGUAGCGGUGAAAUGCGUAGAUAUCCGGAGGAACAUCAGUGGCGAAGGCGGCUUCCUGGACUAAUACUGACACUGAGGUGCGAAAGCGUGGGUAGCAAACAGGAUUAGAUACCCUGGUAGUCCACGCCGUAAACGAUGUCAACUAGCCGUUGGACUCAUUAUNAGGGUUUAGUGGAGCACGUAACGCGAUAAGUUGACNGCCUNGGGAGUACGGCC
rnacentral:rRNA from 1 species